rnacentral:rRNA from 1 species
UGACAACUCUAGAGAUAGAGCGUUCCCCUUCGGGGGACAGAGUGACAGGUGGUGCAUGGUUGUCGUCAGCUCGUGUCGUGAGAUGUUGGGUUAAGUCCCGCAACGAGCGCAACCCUUGAUCUUAGUUGCCAGCAUUUAGUUGGGCACUCUAAGGUGACUGCCGGUGACAAACCGGAGGAAGGUGGGGAUGACGUCAAAUCAUCAUGCCCCUUAUGACCUGGGCUACACACGUGCUACAAUGGAUGGUACAAAGGGCUGCAAGACCGCGAGGUCAAGCCAAUCCCAUAAAACCAUUCUCAGUUCGGAUUGUAGGCUGCAACUCGCCUACAUGAAGCUGGAAUCGCUAGUAAUCGCGGAUCAGCAUGCCGCGGUGAAUACGUUCCCGGACCUUGUACACGUCGCCCGUCGCACCACAAGUCGU